CCGGACUGCUGCCUCCGGAGGCGUCACCUUGUUGUGUGGGUGGAGUCAACGUGGCCGACUCAGGCUCCACGCACAGUGUCACGUCUUCUUCCUGGUCCGGACAGGAACAGGAAACAGAAUCGGUCAACAGAAGAGCUGCUGCAGGUCCAGUCCUACAGAACGGACCACCAAUGAACCACCAAUGGACCACCAGUGGACCACCAAUGGAUCACCAAUGGACCAUCAAUAGACCACCAAUGGACCAACCAGUCAACCACCAAUAGACCACCAGUGGACCACCAAUAGACCACCAAUGGACCACUGGUCAACCACCAAUGGACCACCAAUAGACCACCAAUAGACCACCAGUGUACCACCAAUAGACCACCAAUAGACCACCAGUGGACCACCACUGGACCACCAGUCCACCACCAGUCCACCACCAGUCCACCACCAAUAGACCACCAAUGGACCACCAAUGGGCCACCAGUCCACCACCAGUCCACCACCAAUGGGCCACCAGUGGACCACCAAUGCACCACCAAUAGACCACCGGUUCUGCUCACCUUGACAUCCUCCUCCUGUUGCUCCAGCAGCGGUGAGUGUUCUGUUCCCACCAUCUCGUCUCCGGAGGGAACACAGAGGCUGGGCUCCACCACCGCCGCCACGCCCAUGUAGCCUCCGGCCUCGGCCUGGUAGGCCUCCAUCUGGCCCGUGUUCCACAGGUCCACCAGCGGGGGGUGAACCUGGUGCACCAGGCUGUGGAUGGUGCUGUUGGGCGUCGCUUGUAAAGAGUGGUUGGCGCUGUGCAGCCGGUGCUCCAGAGACUGGAACACAAGGAGAGAACAGAGAGCUGAUAUCUCAAAACCAAACACUGACAACAAACAUCAGAAAACAGCUCAGAGGAGAUGAAGAUCCAGUGGACCUCCUGCUGAUGAGGGUUCUGAUGUUUCUUUGUGCAGAUCUUUGGACUAAAGAAGACAUCUGAAGACAUUUUUCACCAUUUUCUGACAUUUAAGGUCCAAAUAACUAAUCAGUGAUCCAUAAAAUGAUCUUGAUAACAGUUAACUGCAUCUCUAAGCAUCAUGCAGCCUCCACUGUGUCUGAUCUGGUGCUGAACCGCCUCCAGCUGCCGGCGCUCGGUCACCUGUUGC